AUUGAACGCUGGCGGCAUGCCUUACACAUGCAAGUCGAACGGCAGCGCGGGAGCAAUCCUGGCGGCGAGUGGCGAACGGGUGAGUAAUACAUCGGAACCUGCCCAAUCGUGGGGGAUAACGCAGCGAAAGCUGUGCUAAUACCGCAUACGAUCUACGGAUGAAAGUGGGGGAUCGCAGGACCUUGCGCGAAUGGAGCGGCCGAUGUCAGAUUAGGUAGUUGGUGAGGUAAAGGCUCACCAAGCCUUCGAUCCGUAGCUGGUCUGAGAGGACGACCAGCCACACUGGGACUGAGACACGGCCCAGACUCCUACGGGAGGCAGCAGUGGGGAAUUUUGGACAAUGGGCGAAAGCCUGAUCCAGCCAUGCCGCGUGCAGGAUGAAGGCCUUCGGGUUGUAAACUGCUUUUGUACGGAACGAAACGGUCUUUUCUAAUAAAGAAGGCUAAUGACGGUACCGUAAGAAUAAGCACCGGCUAACUACGUG
rnacentral:rRNA from 1 species